GAUGUCAACUAGCCGUUGGGCCCCUUUAAUAGGACUUAGUGGCGAAGCUAACGCGUUAAGUUGACCGCCUGGGGAGUACGGCCGCAAGGUUGAAACUCAAAGGAAUUGACGGGGGCCCGCACAAGCGGUGGAGCAUGUGGUUUAAUUCGAUGCAACGCGAAGAACCUUACCAGCCCUUGACAUCCUCGGAACUUAGCAGAGAUGCUUUGGUGCCUUCGGGAACCGAGUGACAGGUGCUGCAUGGCUGUAGUCAGCUCGUGUCGUGAGAUGUUGGGUUAAUUCCCGCAACGAGCGCAACCCUUGUCCUUAGUUGCCAGCACUUCGGGUGGGACUUUAAGGAGACGCCGGUUAUAACCGGAAGAAGUUGGGAUGACGUAAGUCAUCAUGCCCUUACGGGCUGGGCUACACACGUGCUACAAUGGUUGGUACAGAGGGCAGCGAACUCGCGAGAGUAAGCCAAUCCCACAAAGCCAAUCCUAGUCCGGAUCGCAGUCUGCAACUCGACUGCGUGAAGUCGGAAUCGCUAGUAAUCGCAGAUCAGCAAUCCUGCGCGGAAUACGUUCCCGGGCCUUGUACACACCGCCCGUCACACCAUGGGAGUUGCUGCACCAGAAGUAGUUA
rnacentral:rRNA from 1 species